CGGGGAGUAGUAUAACGGUAGUACGCCUGUUUUGGGAACAGGUGGCCCGAGUUCAACUCUCGGCUCCCCGA
rnacentral:tRNA from 1 species